CUACGGCCACAUCACGUUUAAAUAUCAGUUCCCGUCUUAUCACCGAAGUUAAGAAACGUCAGGCCUGGUCAGUACUUAGAUGGGUGACAGCUUGGAAAUACCAGAUGUUGUAAG